rnacentral:SRP_RNA from 1 species
GUCUGGUGUGGUGGCGCAUGCCUUUAGUCCCAGCUACUCGGGAGGCUGAGGCUGGAGGAUCGCUUGAGCCCAGAAGUUCUGGGCUGUUAUGCGCUAUGCUGAUCGGGUGUUUGCACCAAGUUCAGCAUCAAUAUGGUGACCUCCUGGGAGUGGGGGACCCAGGUUGCCUAAGGAGGGGUGAGCUGGCCCAGGUCAGAAACAGUAGGUCAAAACUCCUGUACUGAUCGGUAGUGGGAUCAUGCCUGUGAAGUGAUGCCAGUGAGCCACUGCACCCCAGCCUGGACAACAUAGCAAGACCUGGGCUCC